AUUUGUUUAAAAUCCAAUUCUAACAGGGCCCAGUUGAAAGACCCACUUUGGGGCGCAGAUGAUUACAAUGACUGGUGGCCCCACUUGCGUUUUCAACUCGAGUGUAAUUGCUUCAUGAUUCCGCUUUGGAUCGAUUUUCGUUUGUGCGAUUAUCGGAGCUUUUGGCUGCCAACUACCAACUACCGGCUACCGUCUACCGUCUCCCAGUUACCAGAGUUUUUUGCUUGUCACCCAACUUGACCCAAAGGUGCGGACAAACACAGAGCUCUCAUUACUGUCAGUCCAUCGCCGCCUCCCUCCCCUGGCCAAUUGCGGGUUUGUUGUCAAAGUGUAAAAAUAAACAAACACCGGGGGACAAUGCUAAUCCAUUCGAUAUGGUCCGCUCGGAUUAGCUCCCAGCUCCACAUCCGCAAUUGGGCAGAACUCGUUCUGCAACUCCGGGUAUAAAUACUGGGGGUCUGGGCGGAGAACAGCAUCAGUCAGCGCACUACCAGUCCUCGAGAACACUCGUCUCCUCCAAAUCCCAACCAAAAUCAAAAUGAAAUUCCUCGUCUGCUUGGCCCUCUUCAUCGCCG
rnacentral:sRNA from 1 species